rnacentral:rRNA from 1 species
GGGGGGGGGGGGGGGGGGGGGGGGGGGGUGGGGGGGGGGGGGGGGGGGGGGGCGGGGGGGGGGGGCGCGAGUGGCGAACGGGUGAGUAACACGUGAGUAACCUGCCCUUGACGUUGGGAUAACUUCAGGAAACUGGGGCUAAUACCGGAUAGGAGCUCCUGCUGCAUGGUGGGGGUUGGAAAGUUUCGGCGGUUGGGGAUGGACUCGCGGCUUAUCAGCUUGUUGGUGGGGUAGUGGCUUACCAAGGCUUUGACGGGUAGCCGGCCUGAGAGGGUGACCGGCCACAUUGGGACUGAGAUACGGCCCAGACUCCUACGGGAGGCAGCAGUGGGGAAUAUUGCACAAUGGGCGGAAGCCUGAUGCAGCAACGCCGCGUGCGGGAUGACGGCCUUCGGGUUGUAAACCGCUUUCGCCUGUGACGAAGCGUGAGUGACGGUAAUGGGUAAAGAAGCACCGGCUAACUACGU